UUCUUAUAAUCAGGCAAGCUUUAUCGAUGGCAGCUCAACUGUCAGUCUUCAGCAGGAAUAUGAUGGUGUAAGCUGGUAGUGAUUGCUAUCUCCAUUGUCUAGUUUUGACAGAGUUUAACUUCAGCUCCUUUGAACACUGUUAAGUAUUUCCAACUGAAUGAAGGCAGAGUCUGCAUUAUUGUUAAUCAAGUGAACUGAGAGAAGCCCACAUACACUUCAGAGCUAAGAGCUUGUGAACAUCAGAGAGCUGAAGAAAGCUUGUCUAAAGUGGAAUUUAUUAGAAGUUCAUGACAAUGACUACAAAGCACACUUUGGUGGAGAGCGCUUUCUUCUCUUACAGUUUUUGGAUUGAAUUCAAGACUCCAGGAAACUCAAGUCUUCUGUGCCUGUGUGCAUUCAAAAUACUUCAGCAGAACUCAGUAGAGCUGUGCAGAAGUAAGCUUGAGCCACGCCCUUCCCAUGAUAUUCAAAACAUCUCCUAA
rnacentral:lncRNA from 1 species